rnacentral:rRNA from 1 species
CCUACGGGUGGCAGCAGUGAGGAAUAUUGGUCAAUGGACGAGAGUCUGAACCAGCCAAGUAGCGUGAAGGAUGACUGCCCUAUGGGUUGUAAACUUCUUUUAUAUGGGAAUAAAACGUUCCACGUGUGGGAUUUUGUAUGUACCAUAUGAAUAAGGAUCGGCUAACUCCGUGCCAGCAGCCGCGGUAAUACGGAGGAUCCGAGCGUUAUCCGGAUUUAUUGGGUUUAAAGGGAGCGUAGGUGGAUUGUUAAGUCAGUUGUGAAAGUUUGCGGCUCAACCGUAAAAAUGCAGGUGAAACUGGCAGUCUUGAGUACAGUAGAGGUGGGCGGAAUUCGUGGUGUAGCGGUGAAAUGCUUAGAUAUCACGAAGAACUCCGAUUGCGAAGGCAGUUCACUGGACUGCAACUGACACUGAGGCUCGAAAGUGUGGGUAUCAAACAGGAUUAGAUACCCCGGUAGUC